rnacentral:rRNA from 1 species
AUUGAACGCUGGCGGCAUGCUUUACACAUGCAAGUCGAACGGCAGCACAGGGAGCUUGCUCCCGGGUGGCGAGUGGCGCACGGGUGAGUAAUACAUCGGAACGUGUCCUGUUGUGGGGGAUAACUGCUCGAAAGGGUGGCUAAUACCGCAUGAGACCUGAGGGUGAAAGCGGGGGAUCGCAAGACCUCGCGCAAUUGGAGCGGCCGAUGCCCGAUUAGUUAGUUGGUGAGGUAAAGGCUCACCAAGGCGACGAUCGGUAGCUGGUCUGAGAGGACGACCAGCCACACUGGGACUGAGACACGGCCCAGACUCCUACGGGAGGCAGCAGUGGGGAAUUUUGGACAAUGGGGGCAACCCUGAUCCAGCCAUGCCGCGUGCAGGAUGAAGGCCUUCGGUUGUAACUGCUUUGUCAGGGACGAAAAGGACCGUGUUAAUACCAUGGUCUGCUGACGGUACCUGAAGAAUAAGCACCGG